rnacentral:rRNA from 1 species
UACGGAGGGUGCUAGCGUUGUUCGGAAUCACUGGGCGUAAAGGGCGUGUAGGCGGUCUGUUAAGUCUGAUGUGAAAUCCCCUCGCUCAACGAGGGAACUGCGUCCGAUACUGGCAGGCUUGAAUCCGGGAGAGGGAUGUGGAAUUCCAGGUGUAGCGGUGAAAUGCGUAGAUAUCUGGAGGAACACCGGUGGCGAAGGCGGCGACCUGGGCCAAUAUUGACGCUGAGGUGCGAAAGCGUGGGGAGCAAACAGG